AGAGUUUGAUCCUGGCUCAGAACGAACGCUGGCGGCGCGUUUUAAGCAUGCAAGUCGAACGGCACGCACUGUAGCAAUAUGGUGCGGAGAGUGGCGAACGGGUGAGUAACACGUAGGUGAUCUACCUCUGGAUGGGGGAUAGCCCGUGGAAACACGGGGUAAUACCGCAUGAGGCCUUGAGGGUAAAGCCUUGAGGUGAAAGGUGCAAUUGCUCCGUCUGGGGAUGAGCCUGCGGUCCAUUAGUUAGUUGGCGGGGUAAAGGCCCACCAAGACUCCGAUGGAUAGCCGGCCUGAGAGGGUGUACGGCCACACUGGAACUGAGACACGGUCCAGACUCCUACGGGAGGCAGCAGCUAAGAAUCUUCCGCAAUGGGGGAAACCCUGACGGAGCGACGCCGCGUGGAUGAUGAAGGCCGUAAGGUUGUAAAAUCCUUUUGUCGGUGAAGAAUAAACCAGGGAGUGGAAAGCCCUGGUGAUGACGUUAGCCGGCGAAUAAGCCCCGGCUAAUUACGUGCCAGCAGCCGCGGUAAUACGUAUGGGGCAAGCGUUGUUCGGAUUUAUUGGGCGUAAAGGGCGUGUAGGCGGCUCAUCAAGUCUGGUGUGAAAUCGCAGGGCUUAACCCUGCAUAUGCGCUGGAAACUGGUGGGCUUGAGUUCUUGAGGGGAAGCUGGAAUUCCAGGUGUAGGGGUGAAAUCUGUAGAUAUCUGGAAGAACAUCGGUGGCGAAGGCGAGCUUCUAUCAGAGGACUGACGCUGAGGCGCGAAAGCGUGGGGAGCAAACAGGAUUAGAUACCCUGGUAGUCCACGCUGUAAGCGAUGUGCACUAGGCGU
rnacentral:rRNA from 1 species